GCAGAAAAUUAAAAUUUUACCAACAAACCUUAAAGAAAAUUUUCACUAUAUAAAGUAUUUUUUAAAAAAUUCCUAAAUUAACCAACCGCAAGGAACAACAUUCAGCUUUCUCAAGAAAUGAUAACCUCAUGUCCCUCUUGCAUCAUGGAGAAGCAACAAAACUAUAAUAACUUAUAUUCCCGAAUGAUUAUGAGCUACUAAACCCUAAAAAUCAAUGUUUCAUAAUUGAUAUAGUAACUUUUAGUAGAAGUAACAAGCCUUUCAUAUAAUCAUAUAGCUGGUUUUUCUUCAAAAGCAUCAAAGUGCUGGCUUAUAGAAUAAGCCCAGAGCCUCUAGCCUAUAAAGCUUAACCUAUUGAGGACUAGCUCAAUAGGGCAUAAAAAAUAUUUUAUCCCUAAUCCCCACAAGUAGGCUUAAAAGCAGCCACCUAAUAACGUUUUAGUUAUUGAGAAUUUAUAUUAAGUAUUAAUACAACACAAUUUUAAAACUAAAGAAAUUUAACAAAAAAUUUUUCUGUUACUAAACAGGCAUUCUAUUAGUAUUUAAUAUAAGUCUAUUACUCAACAUUCCUCAAAAAAUUUGAAUCAAA
rnacentral:rRNA from 1 species